rnacentral:rRNA from 1 species
GACGAACGCUGGCGGCGUGCUUAACACAUGCAAGUCGAACGGAAAGGCCCUGCUUUUGUGGGGUGCUCGAGUGGCGAACGGGUGAGUAACACGUGAGUAACCUGCCCUUGACUUUGGGAUAACUUCAGGAAACUGGGGCUAAUACCGGAUAGGAGCUCCUGCUGCAUGGUGGGGGUUGGAAAGUUUCGGCGGUUGGGGAUGGACUGGCGGCUUAUCAGCUUGUUGGUGGGGUAGUGGCUUACCAAGGCUUUGACGGGUAGCCGGCCUGAGAGGGUGACCGGCCACAAUAGGACUGAGAGACGGACCAGACGCCUACGGGAGGCAGCAGGGGGGAAUAUUGCACAAUGGGCGGAAGCCUGAUGCAGCAACGCCGCGUGCGGGAUGACGGCCUUCGGGUUGUAAACCGCUUUCGCCUGUGACGAAGCGUGAGUGACGGUAAUGGGUAAAGAAGCACCGGCUAACUACGUG